GCGCGGGUGGCGAAACUGGUAGACGUUUACGCUUGAGGUGCGUAAGCCCUUACGGGCGUGGAGGUUCGAUUCCUCUCCCGCGCA
rnacentral:tRNA from 5 species